rnacentral:lncRNA from 1 species
CUUUGGUUUCUUUUGUUGCUAUCCCUCUCUUCUAAUAAUUUAUUGACAUUAUGUAUUAAGUAGAUUCUGUAUUGAACUUUUAUUUUCUGACACAAUUACAAUAGUGAGCAAAUAUUUUCAUUUGUCUAUUUGCCUACUUGAAAUGGGUCCUUGGAUUUCAUGAUCAACUCAUGCUUAUUUCAGUUACUGUUCUUUUGCACAGUCUUGUCACAUUUAUGAGUUUUCUCCUAGCUCAAUCAGUUUAUAUUUUACCUCUGUAGCCAUGCAGUUGUUAAUUGUUUAGCAUCAAAUUCUCCUUGUUACAGUUGGCUGGAGCAUCACCGGAGUUGAUAAACAGGUUAAUACCAGAGCAUGUUCGAAGACAAGCUAGCUUGAGUUUUCCCCAUCCUGGUGCAACAUGAUUAGUGGGGUUACAUAAUCAUCUGUUCAUUUAGUUGAAGGAUAUGUACCAAAUUGCUUAAUAUCAUCAAGCGUUUUGGCCCAAGUCGAUAGUUUUUGACGCCCCAAAAAUGAUGUAUGCACAUUGUGGCUGUUCUGGUUAAUUAGAAAGUUGCUGAGUUCUAUCUGGUAUGUCCUCUUAGCUACAAAAAGUUCCAUCGUUAUUGUAUAUUGUAUUGUUUUGAUUUUGAUCGAGAUUUUGAAACUUAGGCAUUCAAACGAUCGAACUACUUUCAAAUUGUGUAGUUUUUGUUUGUCACUUCACUUCUGAUGAGUUUCUUUUACAUACUAAUUUCCAGAUUCUUAAAGCCCUAUUGAGAUUACUAUUCCUUCCCUCCAUAUUCUUGUGACAUAUUACUAAUUUUUCAGAUUAAUACUAGUUUGAGACGGCGGUCGAGCCAGUUGUAACUGUUGUCAUCUGAUGAUCGAUCAUAUAUCAUAACA